AUGGCUGGUGCAGUGGGAGGGCCUGGAGGACCUGGGGGCCCAGGAUUAAGAGGCCUCGGAGGAUUCAGCAGCAGUCUUAGGGGGGCCAUGGUCGUGGUCGAGGCUGUGGCAGUGGUCGAUGCCGUGGGGCUCGUGGAGGUAAAGCUGAAGACAAGGAGUGGAUCCCCGUCACCAAGCUGGGCCACCUGGUUAAGGACAUGAAGAUCAAGUCCUUGGAGGAGAUCUACCUGUUCUCCCUGCCCAUUAAGAAGCCUGAGAUCAUUGACUUUUUCCUGGGUGCAUCCCUAAAGGUUAUGAAAAUCAUGCCAAUGCAGAAGCAGACUUCGGCUGGCCAGCGGACCAGGUUCAAGGCAUUGGUCACUAUUGGGGAGUAAAAUGAUCACGUUGAUCUUGGUGUUAAGUGCUCCAAGGAGAUUGCCACUGCCAUCCGAGGGACCAUCAUCUUGUCCAAGCUUUACAUUAUCCCUGUGCAGAGAGGCUACUGCGGGAACAAGAUUGGCAAGCCCCACACUGGUCCAUACAAGGUGACAGGCCGCUGUGGCUCUGUGCUAGUGCGUCUCAUCCCUGUCCCCAAAGGCACUGGCGUUGUCUCUGCUCCUGUGCCCAAGAAGCUCCUGAUGAUGGCCGGUAUAGAUGACUGUUGCACUUCAGCCAGAGGCUGCACUGCCACCCUGGGCAACUUUGCCAAGGCCACCAUUGAUGGCAUCUCCAAGACUUACAGCUACCUGACCCCCGACCUCUGGAAAGAGACUGUCUUCACCAAGUCUCCUUAUCAGGAAUUCACUGAUCAUCUUGUGAAAACCCACACCAGAGUCUCUAUUCAGAGGACCCAGGCUCCAGCUGUGGCUACCACACAAGGAUCCUCCAGCUCUUACCAGGAGAAUGAGUCAGAGAAGUGGAGGAUGUUGGGGGAUGCAGAGCCAACAGCUGCUCACCACAUCCUUUUGCCCCCUGACCUGGUCUCUGUUAAGUUCCUGGUGGGUUACAUGGCCUAG